rnacentral:lncRNA from 1 species
AGAGUGAGCACGUGUGGCAGCACGUGGGAUGGCAAUGACUGUGUGGCCUAGCAUGCGGACGCACGUGUGCGCACGGUGCGUGGCCUAGGCCCAAGAGGGCGUGCAUGCGGGCACGACCCAAGCCCAAGCGGGUGCAUGCAGGCAUGACCCACGGGGUUCUCCCAUGCGGUCCAUGCAUGGUGCAUGGAUCGACAGUCCAUGGGGCCUGCAUAGAUCGGGUGGGUGUUUCUCCUGAGUUUUUCACGGUCCACCAUGGAUCGAUGCUAGUUUCCCAUAGGUUCUUGCAUCUCACAGGUGUUUUUAUGGACCGGCUC